GCCGAGGUGUUGGAAUUGGUAGACAAGCAGUGUUCAGGGCACUGUGUCCUUUUGGGCGUGCGAGUUCGAACCUCGCCCUCGGCACCA
rnacentral:tRNA from 1 species